ensembl:snoRNA
CUCCAAUGAUGACCUCCAUUUUGUGCCACGUGUCUGGGCCACUGAUAUACUCUGAUGGGAUUGAGGAACUGAGGAG